CCUACGGGAGGCAGCAGUGAGGAAUAUUGGUCAAUGGGCGCGAGCCUGAACCAGCCAAGUCGCGUGAGGGAAGACGGUCCUAUGGAUUGUAAACCUCUUUUGUCGGGGAGCAAAAGACGCCACGCGUGGCGUUCCGAGAGUACCCUACGAACAAGCAUCGGCUAACUCCGUGCCAGCAGCCGCGGUAAUACGAAGGAUGCGAGCGUUAUCCGGAUUUAUUGGGUUAAAAGGGUGCGCAGGGGGAAGAUCAAGUCAGCGGUAAAAUUGAGGGGCUCAACCUCUUCGAGCCGUUGAAACUGGUGUUCUUGAGUGAGCGAGAAGUAGGCAGAAUGCGUGGUGUAGCGGUGAAAUGCAUAGAUAUCACGCAGAACUCCGAUUGCGAAGGCAGCAUACCGGAGCUCAACUGACGCUCAUGCACGAAAGUGUGGGUAUCGAACAGGAUUAGAUACCCCUGUAGUC
rnacentral:rRNA from 1 species